ensembl:piRNA 21ur-826 ncRNA
UUAGUAUUCUGUGCCUUGGCA